GAAAGAGUGGAGAAGGAAGGCAGGGCUGAGAGAAGCCCUGGUGAUGGGCCUGGCUCUCUCCCAAGGCUUGCCACAGCAGGAUGGCUGAAUUUACAUGGGUCAGAAGGACACUGAGGAAAGUGCUGGGCCUGCGAUGACUUGCUGGCUCCCACCUAAGGCGUCCUGCUUCUGGAUGAGGGGCUGUCCUGCAGCCAGGGUCUCUGAGGUCUCCACAAUGAACAGAAAUCUGCAGUUUCUACCUUUGAAUUCUUCCCCCAUCCCCAGUGAGCCAGAGACAAGCAACCCAGCCCUCUCUCAUGGAAGUGGACCAAAGGAAGAUGUACAAAAUGCCACUCCUCAUGGGAAAUCCUACUCUGGGGAGGUCUUACCAUGAAAUUGGUACUAUUUCUGUGGAGACAAGAAGACCUAGAGUGGCUAUUUGCAUUUUCCAUGUUGGGACAAACUUGGCCUGUUUCGUGGGACUGUCGUGAAGGAUCAAGUGCGACAGUGUGUGGUGAAGAUGCUGCAUAAACUGGACAGAGAUUACUGUUCUGUUAUGAUGACAACUCAAAGGUAUUGAUUCCUGGUAAACUUCAUGAAGUCUCAAAYUUUGUGUCAGCAUCCGCUUCCUGAGUAUCCAGCUUGCGACUCUGUGACUGAGAUGUCACUGAUGCAGGAUAAGCAGAAGCAGUGUGUGUUGUUCUGGGGCCCAGCCUUCAAAAACCACCUGGGAAGAUCCUCAUGCUUUCUCCGUCAGCUCUCYGGAUMYAGACUUCAGUGAUGCCCUAGGGCAUGGUGGAGCCACAAGAUGGAAAUAGCCUACGGAUCAUGAGGAAGAGAGAUGCACCUACCCCUCACUUGAACACCCUUCCAGAACCAUUCAGAGAAUUGGAAAUGAGCUUCUUUUGUACAAAGCCACUGAGUUUGGGGCAYCUACUUGUUACUUUCCUCUGUCCUGACUUGUCUUCUUUUCUCAUUUGCCUUCAGAUGCAAAUAGAGGGGGUGGCUAUUGGCCAGGUGUGACUGGAAGCCCAAGUGCUCACUGUGYCUAGACUCAAGCAGGCCAGUGGUUACCACAGAACAAGAGAGAACAAGGCUUGGGGAGGCUUUACUGUGCAGAGAUCCACAGUCUCUUCAAAUGUGGCUCAAUGCCACCAGAUUUGUCCAUCAAAAGGCAACUGCUUGCUUUUAGGAGCAAGAAUCAUGGGAUAGAGAGAAAGUAAGUUCUUAUUCCACUCCCUGAGUGGACAGCAGAAUUAAAGGCUUUUUAUGUAGGAAAAAGAGCAUGAUUCCCCUCACAAUGGAAUCAUCCAAUCCUCUUGUUAUUGUGUAGAGAGGGGUGGAUAGAUAGAGGAUAUAGUCAUGAUAUAUAAAUGGAUGGAUUGUAUACAGAUAAUGGGUAGAUGGAGAUGGUAGUCAGKUGAUGGAUGAUAGACAAAUAUAAGUAGAUGAUAUUUAAUACUGGAUAGAGGGUAGGUAGGUAGAGAGGAAAUUGAGGUUCAGAGGCACUAAGGUAUGUUCCCACGGUCACACAGGUCACACAUUAGUCAUAGAGACAAUUCAACUCUUGUCUCACAGGUGGAAUUCACAACCCAAUUCUGCAUUCUUUCCUCUCCUGAGGAUGGCAAUGAACAUGUUCCAUUUGCACCAUACACAGGGUUUCACUAGUCCUAUACAAUGUUUUGCUUACUUUUUGCUGAGAGCCAUUGCCAAGUAGGAAUGACGCAUCGAAAUUUCCUUGCCAGCGUACCCCAUGUUGCUUAG